rnacentral:piRNA from 1 species
UAGGGUAAUGCCUGGAUGUUGAGGUU